rnacentral:rRNA from 1 species
AGCGAACGCUGGCGGCAUGCUUAACACAUGCAAGUCGCACGACCGGGUUUCGGCCUGGGAGUGGCGGACGGGUGAGUAUCGCGUAGGGAUUUUGUCGUUGGGGUGGGGGACGAACCUUGGGAAACGUGGGGCGUAAUAACCGCCAUGACGGCCUUUGGGUCCGAAAGACUCGAGAGGGCGCCUGACGAGGAGCCUGCGUCCGAUUAGGUAGUUGGUUGGGUGAUGGCUGACCAAGCCUGCGANCGGUAGCU